rnacentral:lncRNA from 1 species
CUACAGUCGGCGGUGGCGACGUCGCCGCGGCAGAGAAUGAUGCCGGAGACCUGGUCAGGGGAUUGUCCGGCCGUGCCGUUGUAGAAGCCGGAAAGGGAGCCGUUUGAGGCGAGGGAGGAGAGGAGGAGGUCGAGGUUGGAUUUGUAGGUGCUGUUGGCGGUGUAGUUGCCAGUAUUGUCGCAAACUUGGUACAACGGCUGGGCCAUCGCAGGAGAAGAAGAGAAGCAGAGGACGACAAGAAGGCAGAGGAGGGAGAUGGAUCCGGAGGUGGCCAUGGUGGAAGGGAGGACGAUGAACUUGCAGAUGGCACCUGCGACUGCUGGUAUAAGGAAGACAAAAGUCAUUUCGGUUGACUAGUCAACCAAGCGAGUGUGUGGGCACGCGUAGCUCAGCCACUUAAAAGAAGAGCUACAAUAAAAAUCUCGUCAAUAUAAACAAAAUGUUCUUUACUCGUAUGACAUGAACGCAUGACAUUCACCUAUCUCAUUCUCACUGAGUAAUAAUAAUAAUAAUAAUAAUAAUAAUAAUAAUAAUAAUAAUAAUAAUAAUAAUAAUAUAAUUUACUUUUUUUUCUUUAUAUAAUUUAAUACCAAAUAUAUAGUAAACAAUCUAAUAGUACAGGUCAAAUAGAUUAGUGAUAGAAUAAUUUAUGUGAAAAAAUCUUUUUUUGUGUGAAGGAUAAUCUUCCACUAUAAAACCAUAAGAUUAUAAAAUUUACAUGGAUUAACCAGAGAAUAUUAAAUAUUAUAUAAAACCUAUGAAUCAAGACACUAGAAAGAAAAAUUAAACAAAAUAAAAAAUAUCAAGUAUAUCAUAAAACUAUGAUAAUCGAAACUAAUUUCAUUAAUCAAUUGUUGAAUUUUUCUUCUCCUUAUAUGAAAAUAUGUGAUGGUCAUCAUUUUAAUUUUUUCCAUCCAAAUCAUAUAAAAUUAAGAUUAUAUUUAAUUAACCUUCAAAGGUUCCAUCAUCUAAGUCAUGAGUGGGACCACCCAAUAAAUACGUUUGUAUAAUUGGACUGUAUCAACAACCUAAAACCCAAAGCUUGGUCAAUGAUUGAGAGGUAGGUGUCGUUGCUCUCUGAUGUUUGCAUCCAUGGUGGAUUGUUCUGUGUGUGACCUCAGUGGCAGUACCUUCUGAUGGGGCUGUGACUUGACUGACGGAGAAGAUGAGGCCUCGCACCAAAGACUUGGCAAAAGUGGGAAAGAGAUGGGUGGGGAAAUAAGUGGUGGCAACGUGAUCAGGUGACUAUUCUUUGUUCACCACAUUAAUUUAAAGUAGGAAGUGCUUGACAUAUGGAUCCAAGUAGAAGAAGAUGAUGCAAGCCAACGAUUAAUGGACUUUAUACAUAGACCAAGUGAGACUGAUAUAUACUAAUAUGAACGAGAGGGUGAUGACUGUUUAGGUAAUAAUUAAUCAUUUAUUUUCACAAGUUUAAGAUGGCAGGAAACAUGCCAAUAGUCUGCAUAAGCUCAAUGCCUUUUUUCCCAUGCUUAAUGAUAAUAAACCAUGAGAGUAUGGAUCGGGUAGGCAUGAGCUCUAGCUUACCGAACUCAUAUGCCAUGUUUUUAUUUUUAUGUAUAUAUAGAGGUUUUCUGAACUCAUAUGCCACGUGUUACGAUUUGAUUAGUGUGAAAUGUUCUCUUAAAUGAAAAAGAAUAUCUCAGCAAAAUCUUGGAUCCACGGUUGAUGGUGCAUCAAUUGAUGGAGGACGGAAGAAGAAGGCAAAAGAAAAUAUCGUUUUGGUUGACUGGUCAACCUUGCGUAUGACUUGCACAUUAUCGGUCAGAUGGUAUAUUAAUUAGAUUGUGACAUCACUCGUCGGAAGGGAGAUAUCGUUAUUAUUAUUGUUGUUAUAUGAUGUCGGCAUCGAUCGAGGUUUGCUCCGUGGGUAAUUGCUUUGCAUAAUGUUAUCUAGGGAGUUGAAUCUUCUGACGAGCUUUGUUGCGGAUGUGGCGUGAGUGACAAGGAGAUGAGGCCUCACGUAAAGAUGAAGGUAGUAAGAACGAGAUGAUGGAUGGAAAGAUUGGUGGUCACAACAUGAUUAAUUGACAAUCAUUAUCUCCAAAAUUAGUUUUAUCUAGAACGUCUUUGAUGAGGUCAUGUGAGUUGAAGUGCUCGGUGAAAUAGUAUAAGAAUUAUAUUCUAAAACGUACUAUGGAGGUUGUGACGACUACAUGAAUGGUUAAUGUUUUGUUGUGUGGUCUCAUCAAGCAUUUUUGUAUAUCGUAACAAAAUUUUUUAUUUUUAGAAUAAAUUUAUUAAAAAAAUUAUAUAUAUAUUUUUUUCUCUUAGAACGCUCAUUUUAAUGUUUUAAAAGAUGAUGUUAUCCUUAAUUGUCAUGAUCAUCUUUGACUCAUUGUUCAUCGUCUUUACCUCUUAUUAAUCAUCUUUAACACUGCCCGUCGCCUCACCCCAUCAUGCCCUCGCCCUUGAUCCACUCAGUUCUUCAUGCCUUUAAGCCUAACUCAAUCUCAUUUCUCAAUAGGAAGGAAUUUUGACCCUUCCCUUCCUCUAAAAGUUCCUCCUUUGGCGAAGAUAACAUCGACAAUGCCCACUCAAAUGAGGAGGUCCAUCCCUCACGAUUCAGUCAAUCUAGGAAUAGAGGAAGGAAGGAGUUUCACCCCUUCCAUUCCUCUAGAGGAGUUCCUCUGAUGAUGUAUUCCCUUCCUUUGAAGGCUCCAAGCCUUUCUUUUAGAGCGUGUUGCUUUGAGUGCAAGUGGAGGAGGGCGAGCAAGAGAACACUACUCGUUUGAGGGGUCAAGUCGAGUGGCAAGGGCAUGAAGGAGAGGGCAAGAGGAAAAGGGUCGAAUCAGGUAACAAGGACGUAAAAAGGUCAUGUGGAUCUUAAGAAGAUAAAUGCUCCAUGAGAAAAAAAAAAAAAAAAAAAAAGCCCAUGGCCAUGUGAUCUUAAGUGAAGGAUUAUAGUAAAAAUGACUUUUUGUAUUCGCUUGAUUCAUGAAGUUACAUAUAUUAUAUAUUUAUACAGGUUGAGGAGGAUUUGAUUGUUCUCCAAUCAUGCUUAUGAAUCAAGGUGAUUGCCUUUGAAUCAUGAGAUGAUUAAUACGAUGCAGAUACAAACAAUAAGUAUAUUAAGAUCACAAUCUAUUAACCAUUUAAUGUCUAAUUUGUGACUCAUUUUCUAUCAGUCUCUUAUAAGAUUGAACUUCCAUCAUGAAUGUUAUUUUUUGAAUGAUGUGAGUGAAACACCUUGUAAGUAAUUAAGUAGCUUUAUGAGAGAGUCUAUUAAUUACUCAAAAGUAUGGAUAUGAGAUAUAUGUAGCUAAUAUGAAAGUCGAUAACAAUGUACUUCAUACAAGAAUGAAAUGUCAUAUUGGAGUUUUGUAGCAGUGGUGGGAAUGAUAUGAUACUUGGCAAUCGUGGUAGAAUAUGUAAUUAUUUUUAUUUCUUAAAACUCCAACUGAUAGGAUUUAUAUUGAGAAAUACAAUAUACAUCGAUGUUGAUAUUCUAUCAUUGGUGUUACCUACCCAAUCAACAUUAACAAAUGCAUAAAAAUAAGAGAAUGAUUAUUUUCGAAGAAGAAGAUUAUGAUUGAAGAUUUCUUGAAGGAAUCAUAGGAUACUCUUCAUUAUAGUCAAAUGAGUUAUAAAGGAUUGAUGCAUAAACUGUGAUAAUUUAUUGAUUCCAAAUUAGAUGUCUAGACGAGUAAGUGAUAAGUACUAUAAGGAGCUAAGUAUUUGGAAUCCGUAGCAAGACAACUAUCAUGUAGUUUGAGUGACUCAAUGAAAGAAGGUGGGGUGACAACUUCUUUAGUAUUUCACAUAUUUAUCUUCAAUACGAGAUCUUAAAUAUAUUUUUUUUAAGAAAGAAAAAGACUAGUAGAUGUAAAGCCACCCUCUAUACCCAAAAACUAGCUUAGUAGCUCUAAAUCUUUAAUGGAGAAUCGAUCCACUAGUUGUUUAAAAAAGUAAUUAAUCUCAAUGGAGUUAUUGACUAUGAUGAUGAUGUCAUCUAUAUAGACUAAUAAAUAUGUGGUACAACCCUUUUGUUAUUUUAGGAAUAAGGAGUUAUCAAAUUUGAAAUUAACAAAAUCGGUUGACAUCAAAUAUGAGCUAAGUUCAUUAUAUCAUACUCUUGGAGCUUAGCAAAAUCCAUAUAUAGCUUUCUAUAGUUUACAUAUAUGGUUAGGAUGUUAAAGAUGAAUGAAACAAAGAAAUUAUUGGAUAAAGAUAUUAUGAGUCAAAGUACCAUACAAAAUAGCAUUAUUAACAUUCGAUCAUCGUAACUACCAACAUUGAGUGACGGCUAAAUUCAGGAUAAGUCAAAUUAUCAUAGAUUUAAUAAUAGGACCGAAGGUUUAUGUAAAGUCAAUGCUCAAAAUUUAGUAAACCUCGUGCUUUGUAUCUAGCAAUGGAUUUAUUAGGGUUCUACCUAAUUUGAAAGGUUCACUUACACUUGAUAUCAUUUUGUGUAUGAUUGAAUGGUACAAGAGUCCAUGCAGUAUUACAUACUAAAAUAUCAUAUUCGUCAUAUAUGGUUUUAUGCUAGUGGAGUAAUUUUUGAACUUUAGUGAAACUUAAGGGUUUCAUAGACUCAGCAGGGUAGCUUGUGGUGGUAUAGAGAUCAAAAAAUUGAUAUGGUUUAAAGAUAUUAUUUUUGGAUUGAGUUGUCAUUGCUAGUUACAAGUGCCCUACAAGAUAAUCACAUAAGUAAUAGCAUAUGUGACGAGCUGCACAGUCUUUUUAGUUAUUAUUAAUAUCAUGAUAUUUUAUUACUUUAUAUUGGAUGAUGAAUAUAUUGUGAUGUCCUUGGAUUUGUACAAUAGGAAUUGGAUCUUGAUGAUAUUAUGAUAAUGAGAUCAAUCCGCCUUUAAACAUAGAUCCUAAAUAUUCUUAAUCAUAUGUUACUUGAGAGAGAUAUCGGGAUAAUAAGAUAGACUAGUGUGUUAUACACCCAUCCAUAUGAUGGAGAUAGUGUCAAUAGAGGAUCAUCCGCUCUUAGUGUUGUUGGUGAACUGAUGUGCCGUGGCUAAUGAGUCAGCACAGCCUGGUUUACGGGUCGAUGUCGGGAGUCUUCGGUCGGCUGAGCUGGAUGCCGAGGGCGGCCAGGCUGUAAUCACAUCAAAUAUUUAAGUUAGGAAUUGAUUUUCUUUCCUUACUUGUUAUUAUAAUUUAAGGAAAUCCUAAUCUACUUCCUUGUUUGUUGAUAUGAAUUAAGGAAAUAACUAGUAAGUAUUCCAAAUAUGAUGAUAUCAUAUUUGGUAGUAUAUUAAAUGGAAAUAAUUUAUAAAUAUGAAAAUUAAAAUUUAUUUCCCUUAAUAGAGGCUCGCCUCCUCCUAUUUAAAGGGGAGGGAUCUCUCUCCUUCGUUCCUCACCUAGUCGAGCCUGGCAACGGGAGGAACGAGGAGUUACACCCUAUUGAUAAGAGAACGAGGAGUUGCACCCUAUUGACAAGAAAUAGGUUUCCCUACCUUUCUUAAAAGUUUUAGCUUUUAUUUUGAUUCUUUAAAUGUUGAAAGUUUUAUAGUUUAAAAAAUGUGUAUCAAUUCUUUAAAUGUCAAAAUUUUUUUUAUUAAAGUAAUCAGUUAAAGUUUUCAAAAUAUUCUUUGAUCCAUGAUUAAGGUUUUUAUUGUAGAAUUAAAUAUGUUAAAAAGAUAUAUGUUUUAUUUGAUAUAUUUUCUGUAUUAUAGUUUAUCUUUAAUCUUAUCUGGAUUAAAAUCUUGUUAGACUAGAAUAUGUUAUCAAAAAUCCCUUUUUUGAUAUUCUUUGAUCUGAAAUUUAAAAUAUAUUAUUCUGAAUGAUUUAAAAUAUGACUAGAAUAUGUUGAAAUUUUAUGUGUUGAAAACAUGAUUUUUAUUUGAAUUUAGAAAGCUAUUUCCUUGUAUUAAAAUUUAUCUCCUAGUCCCUCUUUUAAUGUCUUAUGAUUUCUAGUCAAAUUGAGAAUGUUAUUUCUUUGUAUUAAAGUUUUUCUCCUCAUCUAUCUUUUAAUGCAUUAUUAUGUUUUUAUUUAUGUUGUUAAUGGGUAUAUGCUAUGACUAGUCCAUGGGCCAGGGCUGGGCCAGUUUUAUGUAAUGCAUGCUCAAUCAUGUAUAAUGCACAUGACCAGUAGAUGAACUUGCUCAAUCUAGCCCAAUAUUAUUAUUAAACUUGAGCCCAAAUAUUGAUUGAACUAAACUAGACUUGAUUAGUCUAUAUAAAUUCAGGGUGAUUCCGAAUUGAUUGACUUAUUCAAGUUAGUUUAACAUAAAUUAAACUUAAUCUAAUCUAAAUUAUACUAGUCACACACACUCACACAAGAUAAAAAGUAGGUUUACAUAUAAAUAAUACAGCAAGCAGCAGUGAGUCGAUAAAUUAUUACAGUGCCAAAGUAUCUUAGCAUCCAUAAGCAAAACCGUAAGGUCAUCCAUCACUGGCUACUCUUUAUCUCGGUUCUAAUUCUGAAAUGGAAACUUCGUUUGGUGACAUUGUUACAGACUGAGUUGUUUGGUUUUUUGUACCGAGAAUCGAUUUGUUCGAGUUUGGGUCCAUGCUGCUCUUCCCCACGCAGAAUGCAGGCCGUGAUGGAGCUGGGAGAGACACACUGUCACUGUUCAGCAUCACAUUGACUGUGGACAUCUUGGGUCUGUCAACUGGAUUCUCCUGAACACACAGCAGUCCGAUCUUGAUGCAUUUCAACACGUCACUACUCGGGAACUGGAUGCCCAGAACUGGGUCUAAUAUCUCAAAGCCUCUUCCUGCGGUCCACCUCUCCCAUGCCUGUUUCAGAGAGACCAAGAUGAUCGAUGUCACAGUAUGGGAUUGUAUCAGUACCCACAUAUGUAUCGGGUUUACGAAUGCACUUCCAUACUCACAUAGCUUAGAAGGUCUUCCGAGUUGGCAGAGUCGUAGGAACCAGUGUUCUUCCUCCCUGUCAAGAUCUCCAGAACCAGAACACCGAAGCUGAAUACAUCUGACUUGGCUGAGAAGCGGCCGCGCAUGGCAUACUCCGGUGCCAUAUACCCACUGCAACGAAAUAAAAAAGUACCUUAGGAAGACUAAUAAGCAAACCUAUUUGUAUGAGAGAAGAUCGUACUGAGUCCUACUCACAAUGUUCCCACGAUUCGACUUGUGGUGCCCUGCGUCUGGUCUCCGCCGAAAAGCUUCGCUAAACCGAAAUCUGUGAUCUUAGGGCUCAUGUCUGAAUCCAGCAGAACGUUGCUGGCUUUUAGAUCCCGAUGUAUGAUUUUGUGCUGGGAUUCUUCGUGUAGGUAUAGCAGGCCUCGCGCGAUUCCAUCGAUGAUCUUGUAUCGGGUUCCCCAGUGUAACCGCUCGCGUUUCUCAGCAUCUAAUGGAUGAACACAGAUGAUUGAAUUUACCAAUUCAAAAAGGAACGUAUGAAUACGGCAUGCAACCAUGCACAAAGCAAGAGUACGUUUGAUCCAACAAUUAUUAAGGUUAUAGGGAUGUGUGUAGGAAGAAGAAGAAGAAGAAGAAGAAGAAGAAGAAGAAGAAGAAGAAGAAGAAGAAUCACCAAACAUAAGUUUGUCGAGGCUUCCAUUAGGAACGUAUUCAUAUACCAGCAUCUUCUCUUCUUCAAAGCAAACGCCCAAAAAUCUUACGAGAUUCCGGUGCUGGAGCUUAGCAACCAAAACAAGCUCAUUUUUCAGCUCCCCAAGCCCUUGUUCAGAAGCUAAAAGCUUCUUGACUGCGAUUUCUCGUCCAUCAGGCAGCAGUCCCUGCACAAGAAAAUGAGAUCAUGAUCACAAGAAAAAGUAUAGUGCAUGUGACAUUGCAAUGUAAUAGACUUGUAUAAUACCUUGUAAACUGCACCAAAGCCACCUUCUCCAAGUUUAUUCUCAUCCGAGAAGUUGCAUGUUGCUAUUCGUAGUGUAGAUAGAUCAAAUAGUAAGGACUCCACACUCGUGAUCUUCUCCGGGUCAGUCUCAUCUAUACAAAGAGCACACGCAUUCAAUCUAUACAAAGUUAUUGCUGUUUCGUUUGUGUUCACUUAAAUUAACAGACAUAGGUAAAUCAUGUUUGCUACAGUAACAUCAUUCAUUGUUUCUCUUCCUUCCUUGGUCAUGCUAAAUUGUAUCCGCCUGACCAAAAUGGUAGAAAAGAAACUGGAAUUUUGGAAUAGCAAUAACAUGUGGCAAAAAAUUGCUUUCAGUCUCAGCUUACAGGAAGGUUUUUUAGCUGACUUCCUCCUCCAGUAGCAAAUGCAAACGAUGGAGAUCAGUAGCACUGCAGUCGCCACAGGUAUCGCAAUUGCAAGAAUAGUCCCUGUUGAAUUCUUCUUCUUUUUUCCUGCAUCGAGAUGUGUAAUUCCAUGAGUCUCUGUUGGCAAAUAUAUAUUUUUUUGGCUUAUGUAUUUCGAGAAUAAGCAAAUCUUGUCAACUCAUAUGCUGCAACAAUAAGUGAAAAUAAAAUAAAAAUAACAAAGGAUAAAAAAGUCUAGCUAAAUUUGUUAGAAUAGACUGAUAUUUCCUCACUUAUUCUCCAAAUUAUCAAUGAAAACAUAGUACAUGGAAUGUAUCCCUAAUCUGAGGAACACACUUAUUUGCCCAGUAGAAUUUGUAAUUUCCUUCAUUUAUGGUAUUACUUAUCCCAGUAGAAGUAAAAAAAUUAAUGUUCUUGACCUAUUAAUUAUAUGAUAUUAUAUAUAUCUUCACAUCUAAUCAUUCAUACGAGCAUCAGAUGGGAAGAUGAGAGAGUGGAGAAGGCAAACUCGUUCUUGCUAUUUCCUUUGUCGUGCAUCGCCUUUUCUCGGGCCAAUGAACGCAGUGGUGAUGUUGUCACAAACAUUAAUAAUGUCACACCAAACGCAGUGGCGACUUUGUGAGGAGGACAGCAGAGCAGAGUCAUCUGUCCUGUUUCGACUCUUACUGCUACGUGGAUGAUUCAUUUCGGUGCAGCUGUACGCAGAAUGCCUCACCGAGUCGUGCAGGCUGAUGCUUGUGGUGUGAGUUUUCUAGGACUCGAUGCAAUUUUCUACUGUUCUUCGGUCUUAUGUUGCUUCUGUGAAAAACGACAGGAUGUGGACUUCGUGUCCUGUCUUCCACAAGUAUGAUCCUGUGAAUCCCACUGGUCUGAUAAAUGUAAGAUUGUAGUAGGAAUAGGAGACAUCAGAUCGGGUGUUAUCCCACAUAAAAACCACAAAAACUCUAAGCAAUAGAUUAUAUUUAUUUUUUGCCAUAGAUUUUUAUAUUUAUUCCUUUAAUUUGAGCUAUAGCUUAUUAGUUUUUUAUGAUGAUAUUAACAACAACAUUUGGAGGAAUAUAUUUAAGUAGACAUAGCAGGAAUAUACAUACAACAAUAUAUAUGAUGCAUAUUGCUAGGCAUUAAUGGCUGACCUGAUCCUCCACUGCCCCCAGAGGCUGGCGGAGCAGUAAGUAUCAGCGUCGGGGUGCUUUGGUAGAAGGAGUACACCUCGUACCUCAUGUUGCACCUCACGCCCACCGCCCUCGCGCCCUGCUUCCCCUCGAACAGGUUCGGUAUCACGUCGAACAGCUUCUGCAAGCACUGCCUGCACCGACUCCUUGACAGGUCUGGGGUGCACUGCACCAGCCCGUAGACGAUCGGAAACUCUGACGUGAAGUUGCUCAUCGUCCCGGUAGCGAACUUCUUCGAGGAGCCGUUGCUCGCCGCCGCCUGGUCCGCUAUCCCGCUCAUCAACUCACUCACCAGCUUGUCGAACCGACUCACUUCGGCUAUGUCCUUCUCAUUCACCAAGUACGCCAUGGGGGAGUUGUCGGUGGAGGAGAAGAAGGACUGGUUGUUGGAGUAACGGACGAGGCAGUCGUCAUACCAGACGGUGGCGCCCCUCUUGUUGGGGCAGAGCUGGAGGAGGACUUGACCGGCGGUAGCGAGGCAGGAGCUGCAGUCGGCGGUGGUGACGUCGCCGCGGCAGAGAAUGAUGCCGGAGAUCUGGUCAGGGGAUCGUCCGGCCGUGCCGUUGUAGAAGCCGGAGAGGGAGCCGUUUGAGGCGAGGGAGGAGAGGAGGAGGUCGAUGUUGGAUUUGUAGGUGCUGUUGGCGGUGUAGUUGCCAGUAUCGUCGCAAACUUGGUACAACGGCUGGGCCAUCGCAGGAGAACAAGAGAAGCAGAGGACGACAAGAAGGCAGAGGAGGGAGAUGGAUCCGGAGGUGGCCAUGGUGGAAGGGA